CAACCAAGAUGAGUCAUGAUAUCCCAAAACCAGUGUCGUGUUUUUAAUCCCACAGUGGGACGUGGAGCUUUGAGGAGGCAAUGCAGCUUUUUUUUUUUUUUUUUUUUUUUGUGUGUGGUUGAAGCACAUCAACACCCCUACUGUCACUAGCCUUCUUCUUCUCUCACACAAAGCCUCUUAUAUCUCUGGUGUCCUUCAACUUUGCAGGCAUAUUUUUGUCUAUUAUAGUGGUUGUUGUUGUGUGUGCAGUUCAAUGCAAUUGUUAAAAGGUGUGUGUGGUUGUUUUCUGCAGUGGUUUCACGACAGAAGAGAGGAUGGGUUAUUUUUGUGCUGGAUGUUUUUUAAGGCUGGUUCCUCCUCAUCUCUGCUUCUACAUAGUGUGUGUGAACUGCAGUCUGAUGCAGCAGCAGCAGCAGCAACUCAGGAUAAUGAACCCAGAGCUACAAAGAGAAACUACAGUUGUGCAAGAGGGAGAAGGAGUGAUGUUUUAUUCAUGCACACAUAUGAGAAACAUGGAAAGCCCACACUUAAAUGGAUGAUGUCAGACUCUCCAUGUUCCUCCCCUCCCUGUGGGUGUUUCCCCAUUCAAGCUGGGGGAGAUCCUGGGUUUUCCUGCAGGUUUUUUUUUUCCCAAAAUCACACUCUAUAGCAAUACAUGCACAAUAAUGCUCACAAAUAAACUGGAAGUGCUUACAAAACUGUCACUACAGUGCAAUAGUUUCAUAUCUUGUUCCUGUGCCCCUGUGACCCGCUCCCUCUUGCUGAAACUCUUGAGGCUUUACGGCAGCGGCUGCUUGAGGGAGGAGGAGGAGGAGGAAGGAGGGAGGGAGGUGAGGCACAGGAUGGACUUGAAUACGAAAGAAUGAGGAAGUCAAUGCAGCUCAGGGCAGAGCGUCCCCUUCACUGUAGCUAGGAGUACUGCUGCGAACCCUUGCCUGCGGCGUGGCUCCGGUACUUUCUUUGUCCAGCCGUGCAGCAAAGCUCACGCAACCACACAAAUGUCCUUGAGAGAAGAGGUCGACUGUUGGGUUCACUAUGAUGUGGAUAGUUUGAGUCCUGCACAUCCCCUCUGCUUACCUGGACAGUGAUUGCCUGCAGCCUCCCCACUUUCUCCUUCUCUACCCCCACCAUCUCCCUGGGGCUGUCUGCCUUUCUCCUACUAGUGAGGGAGAUGCAGAGAGGAGGGCGAAUGAGCAAGGCGGGAAGAAGAACUGAGAGAGAGAGAGAGAGAGAUAAGGGAAUGGGCAGAGAUCAGCUAGAUCAGAAUGUGAAUCACUUAAAUUGCACAAUAAAUGUUGGUCAUUUUGGUGCAGAGUCAUUGAAAAGUUGCAGCUUUGCCAGAGACUACAGGACUCCAAAGAGAAAGCAUAAGACAACAGAGUCAUGUCAUUCUCUCUGCGUGCUCAUGCAAUAUUAAAUAGCUGUGUGCAUUUGAAUGCACAUGAAGACAAGAGGAUAUGAUGUAGAUAGAAAUUGGCCAUCACGCAUCUCUUUUUCUCUUCCAUUUACCAUCUGCUGUGCUGGUUAACUCACACAACUGGGAACAAAUAGCAUUCCCAUUACUUUGCGCACAAUUAUCUCUCAGCAGCUUACACACAGACACACACACACACACACACACACACACACACACACACACACACACACACAAACACAAGCCAUGUUCUGACACCUGCCUGACCCCUCGGUCAUGUUAUUGCUAUAACUGAGACGCUUGUUAAAGCCCUGUGGAGGAUCCAGUGGUUAUUAUUUCCCCUGAAAAGCAGUUUACUGGCCUUUCACCAUGUACAAGACGGCUUAAGGUGUAAGGGGACAAGGAAAACGUUAAAUAGGCUAGUGGUCAAGGCAUUCACGGAGAAUUGCUUUUAUACAAAAUUCUCCAUCUGGAUUCACUGAGCUUUUAUUGUGGUGUGUUGAAUUAAUUCAAGGUAUUAUUUUUACACUUUUGUAUCGUCUGGCCAUUUGUAAAGCAGGUAUCAGUUGCCAGAAGGCCACCGUAGUUCUCCGACAUGCUUGUGAAAUUGCUGUAAUUAGGAGAAACCUACUGAUGCAAAUAGAUGAAUUGUAAUCAAAUAAACCCCCUUAAUGUAUAUUUUGGAUGUUUUCUUUCCACCAGUCUGAAAGAAGACAUGUUAUGGAAGCAUAACAGCAUGAAAAACAAUGUUUUUGCCUCUAGUGGCUUCACUUGAGUUGGUCCUUUUUAUUUGUUGGAAUUUCACCCUGCGGUUACGGGAUCAGUGGAGUUGUACAUUAUCAACUGUUUCCAUGCGGGGAAUUAUUUUCAAAAUGAAAUUGUUGAAGCUAAUCGGCUCUUGGGUAGACGGCUCUGAAAACACAAGGCCUGACGCCGCCUUUACAGAGAACACCCACAGGCCUAUUCGACUGCACAAUCUUCCACGGAGAAGCCCACUUAAAUUAGCAUCUGUGACAUCUAAGAUUAACCAUUAGCCAAACAGAGCUGUAAGAUAUGUUGCAUCAGGAGACAUCUGAGUCUUC